UACGAAGGGGGCUAGCGUUGCUCGGAAUUACUGGGCGUAAAGGGCGCGUAGGCGGACAGUUUAGUCAGAGGUGAAAGCCCAGGGCUCAACCUUGGAAUAGCCUUUGAUACUGGCUGUCUUGAGUACGGGAGAGGUGUGUGGAACUCCGAGUGUAGAGGUGAAAUUCGUAGAUAUUCGGAAGAACACCAGUGGCGAAGGCGACACACUGGCCCGUUACUGACGCUGAGGCGCGAAAGCGUGGGGAGCAAACAGG
rnacentral:rRNA from 1 species